ACUCAAAUGAAUAGACGGGGACCCGCACAAGCAGCGGAGCAUGUGGUUUAAUUCGAAGAUACGCGAAAAACCUUACCAAGACUUGACAUGUCCUGCAUAGCCCCGAAAAGGGUGAAAGUAUAGCAAUAUAUCAGGAACACAGAUGGUGCAUGGUUGUCGUCAGCUCGUGUCGUGAGAUGUUCGGUUAAGUCCGUCAACGAGCGCAACCCUUGUGAUUGGUUGCCAGCAUUAAGUUGGGCACUCUAAUCAGACUGCCGUGGUAACACGGAGGAAGGUGGGGACGAGGUCAAAUCAUCAUGCCUCUUACGUCUUGGGCUACACACGUGCUACAAUGGUGACUACAAACAGUUGCAAUAUGGUAACAUGGAGCCAAUCUGAAAAAAGUCAUCUCAAUUCGGAUUGUGGGCUGCAACUCGCCCACAUGAAGUCGGAGUUGCUAGUAAUCGUGGAUCAGCAUGCCACGGUGAAUGCGUUCCCGGGUCUUGUACACACCGCCCGU
rnacentral:rRNA from 1 species